GAAAAGAAAACAAAACACUAAGAUUAUUUCUCUAAGGAGUUUCUUACAUUCAGAAAACCAUGCACGGAUGGAGCUGAGUGCUAUAUGAAGGGGUGCAGACCACCCCACUCCUGCCCAGAGUUUGGAGAGGCUGCCGAGGAUGCCUGCAGCCUGGGUGUCAGGGAGGUACGAAGACGGCUCAGGUUUGUAUUCCAGUAAUGCAAUUAGAAGUUGUGUGACUCAUGAAUGUUCAUAGCAGCAUUAUUCAUAAUAACCCAAACUGGGAACAACCUAAAUGUCCAUCAGCUAAUGAAGAGAUAGACAAAAUUGGUAGAUGCUCCAUUGAAUACUACUCAGCAAUAAAAGGGAAGGAACUACUGACACCUGCUUGCUACUUCAUGGAUGAACCACAAACACAUUGUGCUAAGUGAUGGAAGCCAAACACAAACAACUACAUAUUGCUUGAUUCCAUUUCUACAAAACGCCCAGAAAAUGAUUUUGUGAGGAAGGAUGUAGAGGAUGCUGUGUGUGCUCUCAAGAUCCCAUUUAGGACUGAAGGGCUUAUUCCUCCAGCUGCCCACGGCUGGCGCCCUUCCUGGAAGAGCCUUCAGCCAAUGACUCAUCAACUCAAGGCUCAACCAUUUCAGCCAACUUGCUACAAUUCAGAAGACCACCCAGGCUCAGAGCUUCCUGUGGGGUCAGCAGAGGCCUACAUUGAGAAUUCACCCAGCCCAGCUUCUCCCUCUGUCUAUUUUUUUCUUCCCUUCCUUUCCACAGAUGUUGACCCCAAGAGUA